AAAACAUAACCUUUAGCCAAACAAAUAUUAAAGGCAACGCCUGCCCAGUGAACAAUUAAACGGCCGCGGUACCCUAACCGUGCAAAGGUAGCAUAAUCAUUUGUCUAUUAAUUGUAGACCAGUAUGAAAGGCAAAAUGAGGGUCCGUCUGUCUCUUACAAUAAAUCAAUUAAACUGAUCUCCUAGUAAAAAAGCUAGAAUCCACACACAAGACCAAAAGACCCUGUGAAGCUUAAACUAAACUAUUAAACCCUAUAAUACCUACUUUCGGUUGGGGCGACCUUGGAAAAAAAAAGAACUUCCAAACACAUGACCACACUCAUCACACGUGGCCCACAAGCCUUACAAUAGACCCAGUAUAGCUGAUAAUUGAACCAAGUUACUCCAGGGAUAACAGCGCCAUCUUCUUCAAGAGCCCAUAUCAAAAAGAAGGUUUACGACCUCGAUGUUGGAUCAGGACAUCCUAAUGGUGCAACCGCUAUUAAGGGUUCGUUUGUUCAACGAUUAAUAGUCCUACGUGA
rnacentral:rRNA from 1 species